UGGUGUAAGGGCAACGCGCCCUGUCUAGAAAACAGGGAGUCGUGAGUUCGAUUCUCAC
rnacentral:tRNA from 1 species